rnacentral:lncRNA from 1 species
GUUGAGCCCCUUCUCCGUGCUGGGUGGUGCUGGGGACCCAUCGAUGACAUGACAGCCCUGGACCUGCCCUCCCGGGGCUCACAGUUCAGUGGGGGAGACAGAAGGGGCAGCCCAGAGGGGACACCUGACCCAGCCAGGGCACUUAGGCUGGACUGAGACCCAGAGGAGGACAGACCCGACUUUUCCGGACCUCCUGGGCCACGGUGAGACUCAGAGACGGUAGAUGACUUGCCCAGGGUCACACAGCGCUGGAAUCUGAACUCAGCCAGUCUGGCUUUGCUCAAAUCGCCUCCGUGUGUCUCCAGAGUCCGUGACUGGACACCCCUUCCUCCUUAGGGUCCCCCAAAGUCCGGGGCCAGGAGGAGAGGGUGCAGGAAAGCCGCCCAGGGUGAGCCAGGGCAGGUCAGGAGAAGCCUCUCUGGGGGCAGGGGACAGUGCCCCGCCCUGCUACUCACAGGGGUCCCUCCAGACGCGCCUCUCAGUCACGAUCAGGUGGGGGCCGGUCUGGAAGGGACCACCCACUGACUAACCAUCUCUAUCAGACUUGUUGAGGGCGACACGGGCUGGGGUCCGGCUCCCCCGGCUCCCCCGGCUCCCCCGGUGCCCGUCACAGCCUCUCCCAUUUUCCUGACGGCGCGCACAGAACAGGAUCCCCAUUUUCAGGUGCAUAGACGGAGACCCACCCAAAGAGAGUGGACAUUCUCGCUGCCAUCUCCGGGUCACCAAAGUGUCCACCCCACCUCUGAGCCCUCAGCGGAUGCUCCCGCUGCGGUCGGGAUGGAGGAGAUGGUCGUGUCCACCCUGGACCGGGACAGGCUCGCGGUCCCUUCCGGGCCAGCUGCGGCCAGAGGGCACACUGUGUGAAUUGUCUCCAAAAUGCCCCCUAUGGAUCCUCCCCUCGCUGUGGGCGUCUGUGCUGCUCCCAUCAAGAGGUGGUCUGUUUUCCCUCCGCUUGAAUCCAUGACUUGGUUUGAUUUAAUUUGACCAAGAGGUCAAGUCCCAGCCAAUCGCUCCCCUCCCCAAACCCUUUAAAG